ACGCUGGCGGCAUGCCUAACACAUGCAAGUCGAACGCUAUUUAUAGAGUGGCGCACGGGUGAGUAACGCGUGGGAACCUGCCUUUUUCUGCGGGAUAACGGUUGGAAACGACCGCUAAUACCGCAUACGCCCUACGGGGGAAAGGUCCGCCGGAGAAAGAGGGGCCCGCGUCUGAUUAGCUAGUUGGUAGGGUAACGGCUUACCAAGGCGACGAUCAGUAGCUGGUCUGAGAGGAUGAUCAGCCACACUGGGACUGAGACACGGCCCAGACUCCUACGGGAGGCAGCAGUGGGGAAUAUUGGACAAUGGGGGCAACCCUGAUCCAGCAAUGCCGCGUGUGUGAUGAAGGCCUUAGGGUUGUAAAGCACUUUCACUGGUGAAGAUGAUGACGGUAACCAGAGAAGAAGCCCCGGCUAACUUCGUGCCAGCAGCCGCGGUAAUACGAAGGGGGCGAGCGUUGUUCGGAAUUACUGGGCGUAAAGGGCGCGUAGGUGGUCUUUUAAGUUAGGCGUGAAAUCCCCAGGCUCAACCUGGGAACUGCGCUUAAAACUGGAAGACUAGAAAACGGAAGAGGGUAGUGGAAUUCCCAGUGUAGAGGUGAAAUUCGUAGAUAUUGGGAAGAACACCAGUGGCGAAGGCGCUCUGCUGGGCCAUUACUGACGCUCAUGGACGAAAGCCAGGGGAGCGAAAGGGAUUAGAUACCCCUGUAGUCCUGGCCGUAAACGAUGAACACUAGGUGUCGGGGGAAUCGACCCCUUCGGUGUCGUAGCUAACGCGUUAAGUGUUCCGCCUGGGGAGUACGCACGCAAGUGUGAAACUCAAAGGAAUUGACGGGGGCCCGCACAAGCGGUGGAGUAUGUGGUUUAAUUCGAUGCAACGCGAAGAACCUUACCAGGGUUUGACAUCCUGCGAACCUCUUAGAAAUUUGAGGGUGCCUUCGGGAAUGCAGUGACAGGUGGUGCAUGGCUGUCGUCAGCUCGUGUCGUGAGAUGUUGGGUUAAGUCCCGCAACGAGCGCAACCCUCACUUUUAGUUGCCAUCAUUAAGUUGGGCACUCUGAAAGAACUGCCAGUGAUAAGCUGGAGGAAGGUGGGGAUGACGUCAAGUCCUCAUGGCCCUUACGUGUUGGGCUACACACGUGCUACAAUGGCAUUUACAAUAGGAAGCAAGAUGGCGACGUCAAGCAAAUCCUAAAAAGAUGCCUCAGUUCGGAUUGUACUCUGCAACUCGAGUACAUGAAGCUGGAAUUACUAGUAAUCGCGGAUCAGCGCGCCGCGGUGAAUACGUUCCCGGGUCUUGUACACACCGCCCGUCACACCAUGGGAGUUGGUUCUACCUUAAGGCAAGGUUUAAAACCCUUGACCACGGUAUAGUCAGCGACUGGGGUGAAGUCAUAACAAGGUAGCC
rnacentral:rRNA from 1 species